GACCGCUGGGACAGAUGAUGCAGAUUUUCAGUGCACUGGGGUUAAGAGGUUUAUGCGAGGUGGUUAUUCAGACCUAUUGAGGAGUCGGUCGUCAGUGUCGAUGGAAAUAGCGAAAAAUUAACAUGGAUGAAACAAAAAUUAAGCUGGGUUCUUGGAGUCUGCAGUGGAAAGGCACCACAUUCCUGGAAUAUCUCGAUUAAAACUUGAAGUGGCAAAAAAAUUAACUCGAAGUUGCAGGCAAGAUGGGCAGCUCAUCCAAAAUAGCCGGAGCCCCAUCCAUCUGCUUUGUUACUUAUGCUGUUACCACGUCAGAGAAUGCAGGUGUUCACAAGAGACAGCAGGGGCACAACAGGACACUGGAACGAACCCUCUAGAAGGCACAGACACACAUAACAGCUGCUGCUGAGGUGGACGGGCACAAAACCCCACCUGUUUCCUGGACCCUUCUGCCACAAGCAAAAGCCUUAAGUCAUUGAUGGAGGGUUAGCAAAUAUUCCCCCAGAACGCAGAUACUGCUUUUGUGGAAGAAGCAGAAGCCAAAUCCCUCAACCUCUGAGAGAAGGAUAGUAUACCCACUCAAUCCCAUGACAAAGCCAAAGACCCUUUAUUUCUUGGAGGUUGGAGGUGGCAAAAUACCUUCAUUUGGAGGACAGUAGAAAUUAUUUUUUGGUACUGAGGAUCGAACUCGGGACCUUGCAUUUGCAAGGCAGGUGGUGGAACCACUCAGCUAAAUCCCCGAGUCUCAGCAGAAAUAAUUUGAUGCUAUUAAUUACUACCACUACUGGGGAAGGAGCAGAAAAUCCUGCCGAAGACUAACCACUAAUACAUGAGGAAGAGAGCUGGGAAUACUAAGAAAGACUCACUUCUAAAGGAGGCUCAGGCACACAGGUGCACUGCCUAACACUGAGGCUAGGAUAGGACAACAAAGAUUGUGGGACAGUGGCAAGCAGAAUUACUGUUCUAAAAUUUCCAGGAGACUACAUUGCUGAGAGUACCCCCACCCCCCACCCCACUAGGCCAACAUCUGUGACUUGUACUGACUACAUACUGCAUGGGAGGAAGGACCCUGGGAAAACCUGAAGCCACACAAUGGAGGCAGUGACCUUUGAGGAUGUGUCUGUGAACUUCACCAUCCAUAGAGGAGUGGGUUUUGCUGAAUCCAUCCCAAAAGAAGCUCUACAGAGAUGUGAUGAGGGAAACUUUUAGGAACAUAGCUGCUGUAGAAGGAGCCUGGGAUAUCCAGGAAGGUGAAGAAGAGUACAAAAGUUACUGGAGAAAUCUAAGAAAUGAAGAGGUAGAGAAAUGCUAUCAAAAUAGAGGUUGGAAUCAAUAUGAAGAAAUAUUCCUUUGGACUCCAGACGCUAAUGUGGACAUGAAACAAGCUGGUUUAAACCCAGCUGAAAGCUUUGCUUGCAGAAAGCCCCUGAUUGGGCAUUUGUCACUAAAUGUGCCCAUUGUAGCUCACACUGGACUGAAGACAUAUGAGUACUUGGGAUCAGAAGAGCAUCUGUGUAAAAGUAAUGAACAUGGAAGAACCUGUGGUGAUUUCCAGUCCUUUCAGAAGCAUGCAAGGACAAAGACUGGAGAGAAACCCUAUGAAUAUCCUCAAUGUGGGAAAUCCUACUCUGAUCUUAGUGAAAGACCUCACCUUAUAUAUAAGAAAAAU